AGUUGGGCUGUGUGCCGGGGGCUCACUCUUUGCAUGGCACAGUGGGCCACCCAGGAAUGGACUAUCCACUCCCCCGAUCUGGGGCAAGGACGUGGUUGGAGAUACGGAAUGCAGUCAGACACAGGACUGUGAAUCUAAGUGGUUUCGACCCAGGCCCAGUGGUGGUGCACUGAGUGCUUCCUUCAGUGCCGAGCUCUCAGGAAGCACGAAUCGCUGCAGGUCUGAUGGCUGCCUUCCACAGCACAACAGUGAUGGGGAUAAGGAGCUCAUCCACCCUCCCGCCCUCGUUUCUCCUGGCUCUGCUGAAGAUGCUGACCUGAGCCCAGCAGCCAUUGCAGUCCCCAGCCUGGAUUGUGACCCAGUGUCUUUGCAGUGCAGCCCAGCCAAGCGGAGUCCGAGUGCCCGGCCAGCAGCAGCUCCACGAGGAGCGGGUCGGCAUCGCUGAGGAGCAGCUGAGCCUCUUGGAGGAGGGCUUAGAACCAGGCAGCCGGUCCCAGGCAGCGGGCAGCGCACACAGGGGUGGUGCAGUCACACUUCUCUCCAAAUUCGGUGCUUGAUUAAAUCCAAACAGAUCUUUAUUCUGUGAUGAGCAAACCAUGCUGUCUACCAAGUGAUGUCAAAAUAUUCUUUCUCGCCCUUCACUUCCCUUUCCUGCAUGUGAUACAGCAGCCCGCUGAUCAUCAGGGGCUCAAUUUGCCAUGAGGGAGUGUCAGAGGUCACUGAAGGCUUCGUUGGCUGUCAGAGGGCUCCACUGAUGAUCAGAGAUCUUCACUGAGCCCCCCUGAAGAUACCAAAGGCCAGAAGAAGAAGAAGGCAGCAGAACCUUAUGCUCGCACUGCAUACAAAUGCUACAGGAGCAGAAACAAACCGGGGAGCUCUGGGUUCCUCCCGGGGAGGCAAAACUGCACAGAGACACCCCAGCUGUGUUUGGCAGUGCCCUCCCUGCCUCCCCCGCUCCUCGUGUGAUCCCACUGCUGAGCCAGGAUCGAGCUGCCCAGUGCCGCAAAGCACCGUCCAGAGCUGGGCCGGGACCUCCUCCCCUUCCUCUCCUGCAGCUUGGCGUGCAGCCUCACCUCCUCCUGUGGCAGAGCUGCUGAUCCCACGCGUGCCAUCAGGAUGCUCCUCUAACCCAGAGCUCCUGCCCCCCCGCCAAGAAAAAGCAAACCAACCCCCCGCCGCCAGCACGGCCCCGCAGCAGGGAACGCACGCAGCUUCAUGCCGCUCCCCUUCACCCUACCUUAGGAUAGGUUAUUAUGUCCUACGUCAGAGACCAAAGGAGCACUGAUCUGGAAAUUGGUACGAAACACAGCAGCGUCACUUUAAAACGCAAGUUGUGUUUUUGUUGUCAUGGGUAUUACAGCCCAAAGGUUGUAAUAAAGUUCAUGCAAAGGAGGACAAAUUACAGGUGUUCCAUACACAAAAGCAAAGAGGAAAGGUGUGAGGGUGUUUCCCAAUGAGGAGUAAGAUUCCAGAAAGGGACACAUGCAGAGACCCCAGAGGGAUAUGGAGGCAAACACUAACUGCUACAGAAGCAAUGGUACAGAGAGAGAAUUCACUGCUAGGAGGAGCUCCCAGUCCAGUGAAGAAGAUUC